CCAUAGCUCAAUGGAUAGAGCACCGGCCUUCUAAGCCGUAGGUUGUGGGUUCGAGUCCCGCUGGA
rnacentral:tRNA from 1 species